rnacentral:sRNA from 1 species
UAAUAAAAGUGUAGAGAGGACGUACGUCAAUACGUCCUAAUAAAACCGUUUAAGACGGUAGCAAGAUUCAUUACAAAUUGUAA